rnacentral:rRNA from 1 species
GAUGAACGCUAGCGGGAGGCCUAACACAUGCAAGCCGAGCGGUAGAGUUUCUUCGGAAACUUGAGAGCGGCGCACGGGUGCGUAACACGUGUGCAACCUACCUUUAUCUGUGGGAUAGCCUUUCGAAAGGAAGAUUAAUACCCCAUAAUAUAAUGAUUGGCAUCAAUUAUUAUUGAAAACUCCGGUGGAUAGAGAUGGGCACGCGCAAGAUUAGAUAGUUGGUGAGGUAACGGCUCACCAAGUCAAUGAUCUUUAGGGGUCCUGAGAGGGAGAUCCCCCACACUGGUACUGAGACACGGACCAGAAUGCUACGGGAGGCAGCAGUGAGGAAUAUUGGACAAUGGGUGAGAGCCUGAUCCAGCCAUCCCGCGUGAAGGAUGACGGUCCUAUGGAUUGUAAACUUCUUUUGUACAGGGAUAAACCUACCCUCGUGAGGGUAGCUGAAGGUACUGUACGAAUAAGCACCGGCUAACUCCGUG